CUUGGUCAUUUAGAGGAAGUAAAAGUCGUAACAAGGUCUCCGUAGGUGAACCUGCGGAGGGAUCAUUACACAAAUAUGAAGGCGGGCUGGAACCUCUCGGGGUUACAGCCUUGCUGAAUUAUUCACCCUUGUCUUUAGCGUACUUCUUGUUUCCUUGGUGGGUUCGCCCACCACUAGGACAAACAUAAACCUUUUGUAAUUGCAAUCAGCGUCAGUAACAAAUUAAUAAUUACAACUUUCAACAACGGAUCUCUUGGUUCUGGCAUCGAUGAAGAACGCAGCGAAAUGCGAUAAGUAGUGUGAAUUGCAGAAUUCAGUGAAUCAUCGAAUCUUUGAACGCACAUUGCGCCGCCUGGUAUUCCGGGGGGCAUGCCUGUUCGAGCGUCAUUUCACCACUCAAGCCUCGCUUGGUAUUGGGCAACGCGGUCCGUCGCGUGCCUCAAAUCGACCGGCUGGGUCUUCCGUCCCCUAAGCGUUGUGGAAACUAUUCGCUAAAGGGUGCUCGGGAGGCUACGCCGUAAAACAAACCCAUUUCUAAGGUUGACCUCGGAUCAGGUAGGGAUACCCGCUGAACUUAAGCAUAUCAAUAAGCGGAGGA
rnacentral:rRNA from 1 species